GAGGAUCUAAGUCUAUCCGUGGUUGCAGGAACGAGCUGGGACGCUGGUGAUGCGGAGAAAAUCUUGGCUGGAUGGCUGAAUCUGUGGACGGCCGGGGAAAGCAUGGGAUGCUGGGAGAUGAUCACGGAUGCUUCGAAUCGGAGGAUUCCUUCGGCUGGGAACAGGUGAUGAUCCACGGGAUUCGGCAACUUGGGUGUUAGAUGAACAUCAGGGAGUGAAGGUGUUGUGGGCGUUUGAGAAGAUCUCGGAGGAAGAGGAUCACAGAGAAGAUGGGAGGAAGUUGGGACUCGGGAUAAGGAUGAUGUUGGAACAGGGGAGCUGGGACGGAUGCAGAGGAAUUCGAAAGAGAUGAAGCUCGGGAAUGGCUGGAUUCGGCUAGUAACAGGGAAUGGUGUGGAUUUGUAAACGGGAUAAGAUUUGUUCCGCUGGGAACAGAGGAGCUGGGAGCUGAUCCAGAUGCUGGCCACGGGAUCCUCGGAUGCGCGAGGCUAAGGAAUUUGGCUAGGAUCAGUUCGGAAGAUGGCUGGGACACGUUCAUGAUCGGGAAGAGAUCUGUGCUAUCUACGGAAGACUCGGACGGGAUGCUGGGAGGAAGUUGUUCCGAAACAGGGGAAGACCGUGGUCGUUGAGAGAUGAUAUGUGAAUGGCUGAUGAAUGAAGAUCGAUCGCAGAUGAUUCGGGAGGAUAAGGAGGAUAGGAUGGAGUGCUGGAUGCGGACGGGAUGAAGAUUUUCACGGUUGAAGCUGGGAGUCCGGAAGAAAAGGGUGGUUGCUGGGCCGUUGGGAGAUUCGAGAAGAUGAAGCUGGACGUUGGGAGAUUCGAGAAGAUGAAGCUAAGGAGGGAUUUGCUGACGGAGUUGGAAGAAGAAGAUCCGCGGCUCUGUUCCUUGUUCUGUUUUGGGUCCGAAUGAAGGCUUCGAAUUAGGAAGGGGCACACGGCUUUGUUCCAAAGGCUGUGGACACGGAAGUUGGGAAGGACACG
rnacentral:lncRNA from 1 species